UACGUAGGGCGCGAGCGUUGUCCGGAAUUAUUGGGCGUAAAGAGCUCGUAGGUGGCUUGUUGCGUCUGCCGUGAAAGCCCGUGGCUUAACUACGGGUCUGCGGUGGAUACGGGCAGGCUAGAGGCUGGUAGGGGCAAGCGGAAUUCCUGGUGUAGCGGUGAAAUGCGCAGAUAUCAGGAGGAACACCGGUGGCGAAGGCGGCAUCCUGGACCAACACUGACGCUGAGGAGCGAAAGCCAGGGGAGCAAACGGG
rnacentral:rRNA from 1 species